rnacentral:rRNA from 1 species
UACAGAGGGUGCAAGCGUUGUUCGGAAUCAUUGGGCGUAAAGGGCGCGUAGGCGGUCUGUCAAGUCGGAUGUGAAAGCCCAGGGCUCAACCUUGGAAGUGCAUCCGAAACUGGCAGACUAGAAUCUCGGAGAGGGUGGUGGAAUUCCCAGUGUAGAGGUGAAAUUCGUAGAUAUUGGGAGGAACACCGGUGGCGAAGGCGACCGCCUGGACGAAGAUUGACGCUGAGGCGCGAAAGCGUGGGUAGCAAACAGG